CCCUUAGACGUUCUGGGCCGCACGCGCGCUACACUGACCAGUGCAACAAGCAUCCGUCCUUGGCCGACAGGCUCGGGCAAUCUUUGAACGCUGGUCGUGAUGGGGAUAGACUUUUGCAAUUUUUGGUCUUCAACGAGGAAUUCCUAGUAAACGCAAGUCAUCAACUUGCAUUGAUUACGUCCCUGCUCUUUGUACACACCGCCCGUCGCACCUACCGAUUGAAUGGUCCGGUGAAGCCUCCGGAUUGGCGCGCACCUCGGUGCCGCCGAGAAGUUGGCUAAACCUUACCAUUUAGAGGAAGGUGAAGUCGUAACA
rnacentral:rRNA from 1 species